CGGGGUAUAGCUCAGCCUGGUAGAGCGCUGCCUUCGGGAGGCAGAGGUCGUGAGUUCGAAUCUCGCUACCCCGACCA
rnacentral:tRNA from 1 species